AGGCAUCCAUCGCACCAUGUGGGGGAGGACCAUGUAAAACGCUAUACUUGCUGCAUAUGGUUUGGAGAUGGUGACACUGAUCAAAAGACAUGACAUGGAGGUGGAGGUAGCAGAGUUGAAGAUAGUCUUUGAGAGUGACGAAGGUGGACAAGAUUAUGAAUGAGUACAUUAGGGGGACAGCUCAGGUUGGACGGUUUGGAGACAAGAGGCAAGACUGAGAUGGUUUGGACAUGUGUGGAGGAGAGAUGCUGGGUAUAUUGGGAGAAAGAUGCUGAAGAUGGAGCUGCCAGGGAAGAGGAGAAGAGCAAGGCCAAAGAGGAGGUUUAUGGAUGAGGUGAAGGAGGACUCGCAGGUGGUUUGUGUGGAGAGAGGAAGAUGCAGAGGACAGGAAGAGAUGGAAACAGAUGAUCCGCUGUGGCGACCCCUGACGGGAGCAGCCGGAAGUAGAAGUGUGUGAAACCACACACACACACACACAACCACAUACAUAAGGUUUCAACACUGUUACAUUUCACACACAACAACAUAUGUGUUCCCACAAUUUUAUUUCAAAACAUUCAAUAUUUGGAAAUAGACAAAAACCGAUCAAUCAAAAUCUGUCCCAGCUUGUGACCAGGAGCAUCAAAAACCAGAAAUCAUAAUGGAUUAUAAUGCCACAAAAUGAGAGGUGGACAAUUUAGACAAGCUGGUGACUGGCUACUGCUGCAACAGAAGAACCCUAUGCUGGCCACUUGUGAUGUUCUUCAACAUCUUGGACCUCUUGGGGUACAAUGUGUUUGUCAUAUGGAUGGUGCUGAACCCAGACCAGAACAGGGGGAAGCUCCAGAGGAGACGGGUGUUUGUCUAGGAACUGAGCAAAGCACUGGUAAGGCCUCAAAUCCAGAGGAGACAACCUAUCCCAAGAUACCCCAGCUACAGUAGCCAUCAUGAGAAGGAUCCCGGAGAAGGAUGCUGACGCUCCAUCCACCCAACCGACUGAACACCAACUCUAGUACCUGAAUUUGCAGAUGGUAGCAAGAAGAAGUGGUGCGAUGUGUGUGGGCCCAGGGACAGGAAGACACAGUACACGUGCACUGAGUGCAAGAAGUACAUCUGCAACACACGCACAGUCAAAUUCUGCCCCUCGUGAUGGGUAACCAGGAUGAAGUUGUGUUCAAUGGGGCUCAUUUAUAAUUUUCAAAAAAAUGCUGCAUGCAAAAUUUGUCUUUCCAAUUUGUUCAGUUGAAAGCAAUAAACACCAGAAGUGAUAAAAACCUUAAUCACAAUUUAUUUCCA